rnacentral:rRNA from 1 species
GACGAACGCUGGCGGCGUGCCUAAUACAUGCAAGUUGAGCGCCGAAGGUUGGUACUUGUUCCAACUGGAUGAGCAGCGAACGGGUGAGUAACGCGUGGGGAAUCUGCCUUUGAGCGGGGGACAACAUUUGGAAACGAAUGCUAAUACCGCAUAAAAACUUUAAACACAAGUUUUAAGUUUGAAAGAUGCAAUUGCAUCACUCAAAGAUGAUCCCGCGUUGUAUUAGCUAGUUGGUGAGGUAAAGGCUCACCAAGGCGAUGAUACAUAGCCGACCUGAGAGGGUGGUCGGCCACAUUGGGACUGAGACACGGCCCAAACUCCUACGGGAGGCAGCAGUAGGGAAUCUUCGGCAAUGGACGAAAGUCUGACCGAGCAACGCCGCGUGAGUGAAGAAGGUUUUCGGAUCGUAAAAAUCUGUUGGUAGAGAAGAACGUUGGUGAGAGUGGAAAGCUCAUCAAGUGACGGUAACUACCCAGAAAGGGACGGCUAACUACGUG